GGAAAAAGACAAGCAAGAAGCAUGGAAAAGAAGGAUUCAAUUAUGGUUUCCUUUUUUGUUCUUUUCUUUCUUGUUGUUGUCCA
rnacentral:ribozyme from 1 species